rnacentral:rRNA from 1 species
CGGGAGGAAGGUGGGGAUGACGUCAAGUCCUCAUGGCCUUUAUGCUUAGGGCUACACACGUGCUACAAUGGGUGGUACAAAGAGAAGCCAACUCGCGAGAGCGCGCCAAUCUCAAAAAGCCAUCCUCAGUUCGGAUUGGAGUCUGCAACUCGACUCCAUGAAGUUGGAAUCGCUAGUAAUCGCGGAUCAGCAUGCCGCGGUGAAUACGCUCCCGGGCCUU